rnacentral:misc_RNA from 1 species
UGUGAUCAAAUGCGAGUACCUCCCUCGGCGGCCUUGGCCGUCCUCGUAGCCGCAUCCUGGACACUAGCACGGGUCAUGGGUUUGCCUUUCACCUAUUGAAUGGGACAAGCWUGCGAAGCGCUACGUUGACCUCUGUGCGGCUGUCCUCUUGGAYACGAUCACACGGGUUGUUUGAGAUCAAAACAGGUGUCUAGGCACCAAUUGGUCUGAUUCUCAAACAUAUUCGAAUCCACCAGGUGGCCAAGCACAUGAUAGCUUUUGGAUCAGUCGCUUUAAGAGUCSCUUUGAGAUAAAAAAAUGGGUGUCCGGUUCCUUCAAGAUCAAACAACGGGUGCCUCGGUGCCUGGUUUGUUCGARAUAAAAGACGGAU